CAGGGAGACAACAAAAUGUUUAAUAUUAUUAUUUUGUCACCUUAGGUCGAUCGGUAUCUCACGUUUUUAAUUUAUUAAGAAUUUCAUUUCCUAAGUUUUUCUAGGUCACACCCAUUAUUUUUCCUGGGCCAUUAGCUCAGGUGGUUAGAGCGCACCCCUGAUAAGGGUGAGGUCCCUGGUUCAAGUCCAGGAUGGCCCAUAUCUCUAUGUUGGGGGUAUAGCUCAGUUGGUAGAGCGCCUGCUUUGCAAGCAGGAUGUCAGCGGUUCGAGUCCGCUUACCUCCACUGAUUACCACCUCUUCCAUAUAGCUGAAGGGAAUAGUUUGAAGUGUAAUCUAAUUCUGAACGAAUCUAGCUUCCUAAUUUUUUUUAAGAUGCUGGACUCAUUGAAUUUAUUCAUUGUUUUCAGAGAACCUUGACAACUGCAUAGAUUAUUUAUAAAGACAAUAAGCAUUUUUAAUGAUGCAGAUUUAUUAUUUGUGCGAAUGCAUUAAUAACAAUUCUAUUAAGCUGAUGCUUCAAUUUUUGAAGUUAUU
rnacentral:tRNA from 1 species